UCUGCCCCUAGAGGUGCUGCAGGUGUGGCUACUGCGUCACGUGUGUGUCAGCAGGUGGCAGGGAGGAGAGACAUGUCUAUGCUCAGUAUUCUGACCUGUGAACAUCUGAAUGAUCAGGAGCCUAACAUU